rfam:Brachypodium distachyon strain Bd21 chromosome 2, whole genome shotgun sequence.
UAUAUAGUCCCUCCGUCCCAUAUUAAAUGACGCAAUAUUACAUGUAUCUAGACACUUUUUGGGUAUAGAUACAUUCAUAUUUGGGCAAAUUUGAGUCACUUGAUAUGGGACGGAGGGAGUACUAU